CCAAAAUGGCCACUCGAGUUCUAAAUUAUGUAUUGUUACAUUGGUCCAAUUAGUUAAAAAUGUGCAUGAGACUGAACUGUAAUUUUUAAGUGUAAAACCCAGACAGAGGAUGCUCCUGAGAAAUUUUAACAGAUUGGGAUACCAUUACUCAAAACCAGAUCUUCAGAAAGCAGAAGAGCACUCACCAGGAAGGACAACGCCUUCAUAAAAAUGACAACAAAAAAACAGAUCCUGAGUAAAGUCAGACCAAAAGCCAACCAGAAGGAGCUUGGAUCUAAGAGGAGACUCCCUGAACCGAAAGGAAAGAGAUGACCCAUGGAAGCAGAGAAACAGCUCAGGAGCUCAUGGUGCAAGAAAAAAGGCUAGAAGAGCUAGAAGAGGAGUUUUGCGAGCUUCUUCUGCCCCGGCCAGAUGCACAGAAAGGUGUUACCAAUUCCCAGAUCCUGGCAAUAUGUUUUCAUGUGGUUACCAUUGUCAACUGUGAGCAAAUCUACCAAUGACCUUGAUCUACUAUUACCAGAUCUGAG
rnacentral:lncRNA from 1 species